rnacentral:rRNA from 1 species
UACGGAGGGUGCGAGCGUUUAAUCGGAAUUACUGGGCGUAAAGGGUGCGUAGGUGGUAGGAUAAGUUAGCUGUGAAAUUCCUGGGCUUAACCUAGGGUGGUCAGCUAAGACUGUUUUACUUGAGUAUAGGAGAGGGUAGUGGAAUUUCCGGUGUAGCGGUGAAAUGCGUAGAGAUCGGAAGGAACACCAGUGGCGAAGGCGGGUUGCUGGGCUGACACUGACGCUGGAAGCGCGAAAGCUAGGGGAGCGAACGGG